GCAGUGAGCCACCCCACCGCCGCGCCCAACGCAAAUGCGGGCGGGGAGGAAAGUCCGGGCAACGCAGGGCACCCUGCUUCCUAACGGGAAGGACUGGCCAAUCGGGCCAGGACAGCCAGUGCCACAGAGAAUAACCGCCCGCAAGGGUAAGGGUGAAAAGGUGCGGUAAGAGCGCACCAGCGGCUAGGUGACUACGCCGGCUGGGUAAACCUCAGGGGUUGCAAAACCAAAUAAGCGAACACGUUGGCGGCCUUCGGGCAGCUGGCACCGGGCGGCCCGCUCGGGUUCGCGGGUAGGUUGCUAGAGCCCGUCGGCGACGGCGGGCCUAGAUAAAUGGUGGGGCUGCUUCGGAGGAAACUCGGGGGCAGACAGAACCCGGCUUAUCGGCUCAUUGCUUAA
rnacentral:RNase_P_RNA from 1 species